UGCCAGCCGCCGCGGUAAUACGGAGGGGACUAGCGUUGUUCGGAAUUACUGGGCGUAAAGCGCACGUAGGCGGAUUUGUAAGUCAGGGGUGAAAUCCCGGGGCUCAACCUCGGAACUGCCUUUGAUACUGCAAAUCUCGAGUCCGGAAGAGGUGAGUGGAAUUCCUAGUGUAGAGGUGAAAUUCGUAGAUAUUAGGAAGAACACCAGUGGCGAAGGCGGCUCACUGGUCCGGUACUGACGCUGAGGUGCGAAAGCGUGGGGAGCAAACAGGAUUAGAUA
rnacentral:rRNA from 1 species